rnacentral:rRNA from 1 species
AGUCGAGCGAGCUUGCCUAGAUGAUUUUAGUGCUUGCACUAAAUGAAACUAGAUACAAGCGAGCGGCGGACGGGUGAGUAACACGUGGGUAACCUGCCCAAGAGACUGGGAUAACACCUGGAAACAGAUGCUAAUACCGGAUAACAACACUAGACGCAUGUCUAGAGUUUGAAAGAUGGUUCUGCUAUCACUCUUGAAUGGACCUGCGGUGCAUUAGCUAGUUGGUAAGGUAACGGCUUACCAAGGCAAUGAUGCAUAGCCGAGUUGAGAGACUGAUCGGCCACAUUGGGACUGAGACACGGCCCAAACUCCUACGGGAGGCAGCAGUAGGGAAUCUUCCACAAUGGACGAAAGUCUGAUGGAGCAACGCCGCGUGAGUGAAGAAGGGUUUCGGCUCGUAAAGCUCUGUUGGUAGUGAAGAAAGAUAGAGGUAGUAACUGGCCUUUAUUUGACGGUAAUUACUUAGAAAGUCACGGCUAACUACGUGCCAGCAGCCGCGGUAAUACGUAGGUGGCAAGCGUUGUCCGGAUUUAUUGGGCGUAAAGCGAGUGCAGGCGGUUCAAUAAGUCUGAUGUGAAAGCCUUCGGCUCAACCGGAGAAUUGCAUCAGAAACUGUUGAACUUGAGUGCAGAAGAGGAGAGUGGAACUCCAUGUGUAGCGGUGGAAUGCGUAGAUAUAUGGAAGAACACCAGUGGCGAAGGCGGCUCUCUGGUCUGC